rnacentral:sRNA from 1 species
CUGAGCACCAAGGUGAUGUUUUAACUUCAUGUUAAAAACCCAGGCCUCCUUUAUACAGUUCAAGAAGCAGAAAAUCAAGGUCUUUUAGCCUCUUAUCUAGCACACUUGGUGGCCUUAAGUAUUUUGAGUUUAUGUUGCUUUAAAUUGCACAGUUUAAUUGCUCUCAGUUCCCUAACACUUAAUUUUUUUACAUUUAUAUAUUUUUUCAGUAACACCCGAAAAAACAAGAAAGUAGGAAACAUUGUCUCCUAGCUCAUUAUUUGACCGUAGUGUUGGAAGUAGUUCAUCUGAUAGAAAAUGGUUUCUUUCUAGCCAAGGUUCAGAAAUUGCCUCUCAAGGACGGGAACUGGCUAAUCAUUUCCAAAGUGAAGGAACUCCAGUUAUGAUCGGGGGAGGAGUUUUGGCCCACACAAUACUAGGAGUUGCAUGGAAUGAGAUUACAGGGCAGAUAAAGUUUCUGAUUCUAGAUCCACAUUAUACCGGUGCUGAAGACCUGCAAGUUAUUUUGGAAAAGGGCUGGUGCGGAUGGAAGGGCCCAGAUUUUUGGAACAAGGAUGCAUACUAUAACUUAUGUCUUCCUCAGCGACCAAAUAUGAUUUAAAAUAUCUUGGAGUCAAAGACUGCAGUAGAGUGGUAUUAUAAAUUUGUGAAUAAAGAAUCAGUUUAAGUUUUCACAUU